CCCCCGGGUCCACGAUGCAGCUCCGGAUGAAGCCGCUGUAUUUUCCUUAUAUGAUCGGGCCCCAUGGCUGGCGGCGCCGCUGGCGGAGCCUGAGAGGAUUAUGAAAACUUGUCUAGGCGAAAUGGGGCCAGGGAACCGGGGG